rnacentral:misc_RNA from 1 species
AACGCACCUUGCGCCCUUUGGCAUUCCGAAGGGCAUGCCUGUUUGAGUGUCAUAUUAACCUUCAAACCUCUUAAGCUUUUUAUUAAGCUUUGGACGGUUUGGAUUUGGAGGCUUUGCUGGUGUGCACGUGUGCCUUCGCACAUGCGUCCGGCUCCUCUAAAAAGCAUUAGCUGGACUUUGGUUCGCAUGGAUGGUGUAAUAGUAAUGUGUUCACCGGAAGUGCUUUCCUAACGGGUCUGCUUUCAAUUGUCCUUGGACAAGGUUCUUUUGUAACCUUUGCUCGAUCAAUUUGACCUCAAAUCAGGUAGGACUACCCGCUGAACUUAA